GGAGUUUAUAGAAAAUUUUAUUACAGAAAGCCCAGUCCCAUUAUACGUUUAUGUCUCCAUUUCUCUUAGAUGCACUUAACAGAAUGGAUUGUAUAGAGAAAAAGAAGGCAUAAGAAGCAGAGGACAGAAUCAGUGAGCUAGAAGACAAGGUGGGAAAAAAUACCCAAGUAGAGCAGCUUCUAGAAAAAUAAAUAAAAAGCAGAAGGGAGAGCCUAAGAGAAUUUUGGGACAACACGAAACAAAACAACAUUUGCAGAAUAGGGGUACCAGAAGGAGAGGAAACUGAGCAAAGAAUAGAAAACUUGUUUGAAGAAAUAAUGACUGA